GACGAAGGGGGCUAGCGUUGUUCGGAAUUACUGGGCGUAAAGCGAGUGUAGGUGGUUGUCCAAGUUGGAUGUGAAAGCCUUGAGCUCAACUCAAGAAAUGCAUUCAGGACUGGGCGACUAGAGGACCGGAGAGGAUAGUGGAAUUCCCAGUGUAGUGGUGAAAUACGUAGAGAUUGGGAAGAACACCAAUGGCGAAGGCAGCUCUCUGGGACGGUACUGACGCUGAGACGCGAAAGCGUGGGGAGCGAACAGG
rnacentral:rRNA from 1 species